UUUUAAUUUGGUUUAAAUUUAAAUAGAAUGGGCCAAAUUAAAAUUGUGAUUAUCUUUUAAUAAACCCAAAUCUAAUUGGGGUUGUUUUCUAAAUAACCUCAUAAUCUACCCAAUACCCAAUUCUGCCAAGCCCAAAUAUACCCAGUCAGCCCAAAAUUUAAUUAAACCAACACCCAAACAGCCUAAGAUAAAAAAAAACAAUUAUCCAACAAUCAGCAAGCCGAAAGCAACCCAAAUCUCACUGACCCAGUCCAUUAAAGCCUCCAACCUAGCCCAUUCUCCAUAUAUUACACACAUAACAACAACAGCUUCACAAAACAACGGCAAAACCCAAUGCACCGACAAAAACACAGUCAACGACAAUUGACCUAUCUCCAACUACCUGACCAGUGGUGACCCAUCCAAACGCAAACCCAAUCUGAUUUCAAGGCAUACAAAACAAACCCGUAAGAGAUAAACCUCAGUAAUGAUUAUUAGCAAUGGUCAAUUCUAGCUCAUAGGAAUAACACCUCAUUAUUUGUCCUUUCUACUCCAAAUUCGUAUCAUACGUGUCUUGAAUUUCCUUAAUCUCCAAAGAUAUUGUUUGAAUUUCAAAUUUUCAAAAUCAAUUUCCCCUAAAAUCCAUGGAACCUAUAUAAUAUUCCGACAAUUUCAACCUGUUGUUUUUCCAUUGUUCAAUUGUAAGGGAAAGGAUGAUGACCCCUUUCAUCAUCGUCUAUUUUUGUAGAGAUUGAUUCAUGGCCGUGCAAUUUAGGUUUUUUUACCCAAAUCCCAUAUCGAUGGGAAUUCGUCCCUCAAUUUGCCUCUAUAUAAGGAGCUCACUGUUGAGCUUGGAGGGGGGUUGAAAAAAUUUCCACAAAGCAGAAACACACAAAAAAGGAAAAAAAAUUGGUCGCAAGAAUAGGCGAGAAUUUCCGUCAGUAAAAUUUUUAGGAAAGGUAGUCUACUAGUUGAUACUUUCACAGCGGCAUUGAAUUUUUUGGUGGUGGUGUAGUCCAAAGGGGCUUGAGGUUCCGUUUUACUGCACUCGAACUGAUACUUGAAUGGGUUAGUUUGAAGAGAAUGUCUCUACUUUUAUUUCUAUUACUCUAUAUGCGUAGUUUAUGUUUGGGCUGGGGAUUCCUCGAGAUUUCUUUUUCUUGGUCAAUAUCAUCAAGAAAGGAUAGAUGAAGUCAUAUUCAUUUUGCUAUCGAAAGCAAGGCUGAAGGACGGAGUAGAACAUCACUGUGGUAUAUCUCUAUCAUUCGAGAGCCUACUUCCAAGGUUCUGCUUUAAAUUGUUUGGGAUUCUUAAAUGCAUUUCUGCCCUUGUUUUGUCGGGAUUGAUUAUCAUACAGUAGUUGCCUUAGGUACUAAGACCCUUACUAUCAUAACUAUUUAACUUGAUGUCUAUAGUAUUUCGAGUCCAAGAAAGAAGCUUUGGUUGUUCAUCAGUAUUAACUAUUUGAUGCUUGAAGUUUUGGAUGUGCAUUAGUAGUUCCUACUAGUUUCUUCUUGAAUGGAGCUUUGAUAUAGAGGAUUCUUUCUCAAAA